rnacentral:rRNA from 1 species
AAUAUUGGACAAUGGGCGCAAGCCUGAUCCAGCCAUGCCGCGUGAGUGAUGAAGGCGCUAGGGUUGUAAAGCUCUUUCAACGGUGAAGAUAAUGACGGUAACCGUUGCAGAAGCCCCGGCGAACUCCGUGCCAGCAGCCGCGGUAAUACGAAGGGGGCGAGCGUUGUUCGGAAUUACUGGGCGUAAAACGCACGUAGGCGGAUUGGUCAGUUAGGGGUGAAAUCCCAGGGCUCAACCCUGGAACUGCCUUUAAUACUGCCGGUGUAGAGUUCGAGAGAGGUGAGUGGAAUUCCGAGUGUAGAGGUGAAAUUCGUAGAUAUUCGGAGGAACACCAGUGGCGAAGGCGGCUCACUGGCUCGAUACUGACGCUGAGGUGCGAAAGCGUGGGGAGCAAACA